AGCAGAGAAAAUGGGCUUGAAAUGCUUCCACCCUGGGGAAGGCAAGGAUGUCAGACCAGCCUGGCUCUCUUAUCCACUAGUUCAGGCUGCCUCGCCUACAGCCUGAGGUAGGGAUUGUGGUCAGGUGAGUUAAAACCCUUUGGCGCUGGCCAGCCAAUCCUAAAGGGUCUCAAAUUUACAUUUUAAAAUCCCAGGGGUCUCCAAUUGAGGUUGAACAGCCACAGCUGUGCACCAAAUGGAUUGAAAAAAGAAAAAUUUCAUCAUACCACUUUCAACGCGUGUAUCAUUUCCAACCACGACUGCUUCGAAUUAAAAAAAUAAAUUGAUAUUUUUGGAAAUCUUGUAAUUAUCUUGUAAGUAGCAACAUCAUAUGGAUGUGUGUCCCUUGUGUGCGCAUAUAUAUUAAACGCGUUAAAUGUUUAGAACAGAACACUUUUUCUUUCGGCAUUUUUAAUUUUUGGUAUUAACCAGGAGAUUCAUGAAUGCAAGUGGCCUUGACUCUCGCACAACAGAGAACUGAGGGGUCCUCCUCUGGUCUCAGGCCCAGGGCAUUUUCUCUUGCAAGUCGCUGGCAAUGCGAUCUCGGUGACAAAGCUCCUUUAAAAGUCCUUUGGAGGGCAGAGGCCGGUGACACCCGAGGAGCGGCACCCCCGCCCUUCCGGUUUGGGAGGGCAGGCGGCCGGGCGUGGGAGGUCACAAUGGCCAGUGUCCCUCCGGGGGACGGCGGCUCCAGCUACCCACUGAUCUAAGGACUACCUGCCUCAAGUUACUGUCCUUGCAUCCCAGCUCCUGCUCAGCUGGACUUAACUCCAUCAACUUUCUGGAACUCUGCGUAUUCCUGUCACUAGAUUCCCUGUUGAUCCCAUUUGCUCUACUGGAAUGUCUCUGAGGUUGUGCCAACCUCCUGCCUGGCCUACACACACUCAUCUCUAAACCAGACACUCGAGAGAAGAGGACAGAUCCUAGAGAAUGUUUUCAUUCUCCAGGUAGGCUCAUCUUUUCAGUAAUUGUACUUACAAGCAGAGAAAGGGAACCCUACUACAGAGCUUUGCAAAAGAGUAAACAUCUGACAGUUGCAGUAAUUCAGCUUUCUCUGUAACAGUAACAUGAGUGACUUAAGCAGCCAAAUUCUAAAAAGAAAUAUAUUUGACUCUGAUUCUCCUAAAUCCAUCUGUUCAAACUGGCGGUAAUACAGCUAGCUGCAUGUGGUUUUAAAUUUGUGCACAUUAGGACAUGCAGCUUUGUGGCUAGAAAUAGGGAUGAUACUAAUGGAAAAAAAUUAUUCACAGUUUCCCAUAGCCCCUUUGGUAUAGUAAUCUUGGCUCAUGAGGUGGGAGAGUCAUUGUCUAAAAGAUCUGUGAGAAAUCAAAUUUCAGGUGAGAAAUCAAACAACACCCAACCACUUCCAUUUUUCAAAAGUCUCAAACAGGAUCUGUACAUCGGCAGUUACCUUCAUGAUGACUAACUAAAAUUCAUUGGUUACAAUUCUUCAGUUUCAUUCUGUUUUCACAUUUAGAUGUUUUCCUUUGCCAAGUUGAAAAAGGGGGAAAAAAUAAAUUAAUCCUCUGGAGCUGAAACA
rnacentral:lncRNA from 1 species